rnacentral:rRNA from 1 species
GAUGAACGCUGGCGGCGUGCUUAACACAUGCAAGUCGAACGGAAAGGCCCAAGCUUGCUUGGGUACUCGAGUGGCGAACGGGUGAGUAACACGUGGGGGAUCUGCCCUGCACUUCGGGAUAAGCCUGGGAAACUGGGUCUAAUACCGGAUAGGACCACGUCUUGGCAGUUGUGGUGGAAAGAUUUUUCGGUGUGGGAUGAGCUCGCGCCCUGUCAGCUUGUUGGUGGGGUAAGGGCCAACCAAGGCGUCGCCGGGUAGCCGGCCUGCGAGGGGGUAGGGCGAACUUGGGACUGAGGAACGGCACACACCCCUGACGGAGGCGGCAGUGGGGAAUAGUGAACAAUGGGCGCAGGCCUGAUGCCGGGUGGCGGGGUGGGGGGUGAAGGAAGACGGGUUGUAAAUUGCUUUCGCUAGGGGUGAAGCGUUUUGUGGAGGUACCUGGAGAAGAAGGAGCCGGUAACUAAGUG